CUCCACUUGGCUUCUGGUACCUCCAGGAUUCCCACCAACCUCCAGCCAUGAAGAUCUUCUGUCUCCUCUCUGUUGCCGUUCUCUUCUUGAUGCUGCUGGCUCCAGAUUUCACCGAAGCCCAAAAUCUCGAGCCGCAAUGUGUCCGUAGGGGAGGGAGAUGCAAGUAUUUCAGCUGUGGCGUCAAGGAAAGAGAAAUUGGAUGGUGUUCAGGAGACAAACUUUGUUGCCGUUGAGAGCUGCCCCAAACUACAAGGAGCAUCUGAGUCAGCCGCACCCCCUUCAUCCCUCAUUUUAAAACCGAAAGCGCUGGGAGAGACCCCUGCUGGGAACCCUGUUGAGAUCACUCAGCUUGAUGGACCAAUUGAUGGAAGUCAGCUUCUGAUGUCAGACGUGGGCCUGUGCCCCAGGGUGCCACCCCCUUCCUUUGGGGCCGGGACCAAAACCAAGAUUUCAACUCCACUGCGUGCAAUAAACCUCCACG